UGAUUGUCGUUGUACCGUACAGAGGCUACUUGACGCCAUGGGUGGAUGGUGGACUCCUGCAAGGAAAGGACUGCUGGACAAGGAGUGCCUUCGUGGGUUCACCUUCAUGCAAUGAACAACUGACUCAGAACUGACUCGGGCAGGGGGAAUCCGACUGUUUAAUUGAAACAAAGCAUUGCGAUGGCCCUAGAGGGUGGUGACACAAUGUGAUUUCUGCCCAGUGCUCUGAAUGUCAAAGUGAGGAAAUUCAACUAAGCGCGGGUAAACGGCGGGAGUAACUAUGACUCUCUUAAGGUAGCCAAAUGCCUCGUCAUCCAAUUAGUGACGCGCAUGAAUGGAUUAAUGAGAUUCCUACUGUCCCUAUCUGCUGUCCAGCGAAACCACAGCCAAGGGAACGGGCUUGGGUGGAUCUGCGGGGAAAGAAGACCCUGUUGAGCUUGACUCUAAUCUGACUGUGUGAAAUGACUUAGGGGGUGUAGGAUAUGUGGGAGCUAUGGUGGUCUUGAAAUACCACUACCCCUAAAUGUUGCUUUACUUUAAUCUAUUAUGCUGUACCCUGGCAAAGUGCAUGAUUUUCGUGUUUAAGGUUGUCACAUCUGUCCCACUGAUCUGCGUAGGAGACUCAGUCAGGUGGGGAGUUUGGCUGGGGCCGCACAUCUGUUUAAAGGAUA
rnacentral:rRNA from 1 species